AUGUUGUCCAGGCUCUACUCAGCCUCCCAAAGUGCUGAGAUUACAGGCACAAGCCACUGCACCAAGCAAAAAUCUAGUUUUUUAAUGAAGGAAGGAGUAAAGUUCAGCAAGUCCAUGCUCCAUGUCCUGAACAGUAGGAGGCAUGUUGCCUCCCGAGAAUAGUCUUCUUUCUCAUCUGCAUGGUAAAUUACCAUUCCUCCAAAACUCUGUUCAAAGUCAGCUGCUCUGGGAAGAUGUCCUUGGCCCCUAGAGCCAUGGGAUGGGUGCCCACAGCACCUCUAUAUUCCUAUAAGUAUUAAGAGAAUUGUCCCAUGGCAUCAGUAGUUAUGACUUUACACAUGCACCCUUUUCCCCAACCCAUUGCUGACACACAAACUCUUUUAAGACAGGGGCACUGUUUUUUUUUUAUUGUCUCCUGUCCUAACACAAUGCAUAGAAAAAAUACUUGAUAAAACCUCACUGAAUGAAUGAAUGUCAAAGGCUGAAUUCAUGAAUUCUAGGGACGUGUUCUACAAUAGUAAUGAUGAUGAUGCUUCUAGGACACUGCAAUCUCUCCCUCAUAAGUGAGCACCUCGGAUUUAACUGUCCAGCAUCAUUUGGAGCACAGGGCGGAGGAUUAUACCGAGGAACCACACCCAUGUCAUUUGAAUUGUCCACAAGACCACUAUAAGGACUUUCCAGGACCAUCACAAGGCUGCAAACCGCAUUUGAAGUGCUGCUUCUGGGGCAUUCUUUCCAAAGAGCCUUUUAGCAGGGCAGGGAGUGAAAGCAUUACCAGGUGCUCUGCUGAAACCGGUAGGAUGAACACCUUCCGAACAGGCUGCAUUCCUCCCGAGGAAACUGAAGAGUGUAACCUCACAGUGAAAUUCCCCCCAAGUCUUUGGCUCUGCAGGAAGCUUCUGGCUAUUUUUCAGGAGAUGCGUUUGCUGCAGGAGGAGUUGGUACCAGUCUUCAGUUCUCAGCCUGUAGGCCCCUGACAUGGGGCACUACUCUGUACAGUUCCAGAAACCAACAACAGCCAUUUAGCAGGAGUGUUGAAACUGCAGAUUGUUCUCCACUGUUCUUCACUGUGGCUGUGUUUGGAACUACCAAAUACUAAUCCUCAGAACUUGGUCUUGGACCUGGUUAUAAAUCUCAUUCCUGCAACUCUGAACAGUGUGAUCUUGGGAGAGUUACUUAAUUUUUCUGAGUCUCAGUUUUUCUUAUCUAUAAAAUGAAGUUAGUAAUAGUAUGGACUUCAUAUAACGUAUGUGAUGAUUAAAUUACAGAGCACAUGUAAUGUGUGUAGCACAAUGCGUGGUACAUAACUAGGCCUCAACAAAUGGCCCAACAAUGUGUUGUUGGUCUAGGGUGGGAGACAGUAAUCUCCCUUUGACUGUCAUUAUCUUUUGACUGGGAAGAUUGGGUAGGCAACAAUGUUGCCUGUUUGCUGUACUUAGCUCUACUUUACUUUUUAUUUUUUUAUUUUUUUGAGACAGAGUCUCACUCUGUCACCCAGACUGGAGUGCAAUGGCACAAUCUUGGCUCACCACACCCUCCAUCUCCCAGAUUCAAGCAAUUCUCCUGCUUCAGCCUCUCAAGUUGCUGGGAUUACAGGCAUGUGCCACCAUGCCCAGCUAAUUUUUUGUAUUUUUAGUAGAGACAGCGUUUCACCAUGUUAGCCAAGCUGGUCUCAAACUCCUGACUUCAGGUGAUCCACCCACCUCAGCCUCCCAAAGUGCUGGGAUUACAGCUGUGAGCCACCGCACCCAGCCGUCUACUUCAUUCUUGCUUGGUUGUUUGCUUCCUGCUCUCACCAAAUUGUAAAGCUCACUGAGGACAUGAACUAAGAUUCUGUGGCCAACAGGGUCUUUCUAUAUAGUAGAUAGUCAAUAAAUAUUUGUAGAUGGAUGCAUGGAUAUUUUUUCAACUGACUAUUUGAAUAUGACUUCUGAUACAUAUGAGUAUCAGUACCCAGGGAAUACAUGAUCCAAGGCUGGGGAGACAUGGGCUUAAUAUUUACUAACAUUUUCCCUUACCUGCCACCUGCUUCUCUUGAGACAUUAAAUCCAAAGGCUAUAAAUCCUGCUGCUUUGCAUGGCUGGGUUAGAUUGCAUAUGAGAAUUUUGCAAAGCAAAAAAGAUACAUCACACCAACUGGCCUCUCAAUGUAUGCUCCCCUCAAAAGGCUUUCAAGCCAAAAAUCCCUAAGCAGUAAUUAUGUGCAAGGCAAAG
rnacentral:lncRNA from 1 species